AUUGAAUGGCUAAGUGAGGCUUCCGGAAUGGCCCAGGGAGGUCGGCAACGACCACCCAGGGCCGGAAAGUUAUCCAAACUCGGUCAUUUAGAGGAAGUAAAAGUCGUAACAAGGUCUCCGUUGGUGAACCAGCGGAGGGAUCAUUAUAGAGUUUUCUAAACUCCCAACCCAUGUGAACUUACCUUUUGUUGCCUCGGCAGAAGUUAUAGGUCUUCUUAUAGCUGCUGCCGGUGGACCAUUAAACUAUUGUUAUUUUAUGUAAUCUGAGCGUCUUAUUUUAAUAAGUCAAAACUUUCAACAACGGAUCUCUAGGUUCUGGCAUCGAUGAAGAACGCAGCGAAAUGCGAUAAGUAAUGUGAAUUGCAGAAUUCAGUGAAUCAUCGAAUCUUUGAACGCACAUUGCGCCCAUUAGUAUUCUAGUGGGCAUGCCUGUUCGAGCGUCAUUUCAACCCUUAAGCCUAGCUUAGUGUUGGGAAUCUACUUCUUUAUAGUUGUAGUUCCUGAAAUACAACGCCUUCUUUUGUAGUAUCCUCUGAGCGUAGUAAUUUUUUUCUCCUUGCCUUUAAUCUAUAACUCCCAGCCGCUAAACCCCCAAUUUUUUGUGGUGACCUCGGAUCAGGAAGAAACCAAAUUAUAAAAUUGACG
rnacentral:rRNA from 1 species